AACGCAAAUCGCGCUCGAGGCCUCGGCCGAGAGCAUGUCUGCCUCAGCGUCGUCUCAACCCCUCCCUCUCCUUUCGAUCCUCACCGAUCGGAAGCGAAAGGGGAUCUGGUCGUUUCGGUGCCCCGCCACCGAAUCGGUCGAAAUACAGAAGGACCCUCCCUUCACACAGGGUCUCGAAAGGUAGAUUGCCCUCCGCGGCGAUUCCUAGCGAGGCUCGAAGGGCAGGCCGUCCUACAGCCGGAGAACCUCACCCCAGACCUUUGACCUGAGUUCAGGCAAGAACACCCGCUGAACUUAA
rnacentral:misc_RNA from 1 species